AUCACACACAGGUGUCACUCAGGUGACACAGGUGGGACACAGAUCACACACAGGUGACACAGGUGUGACACAGGUGGGACACAGAUCACACACAGGUGUCACUCAGGUGACACAGGUGUGACACAACCGCUGGGCACGGGGACAGUGGCACCGGGCACGGGGACACCGCUGGGCACGGGGACACCACUGGACACGGUGACAGUGGCACCGGACACGGGGACACCGCUGGACACGGGGACAGUGGCACCGGACACGGGGACACCGCUGGACACGGGGACAGUGGCACCGGGCACGGGGACACCGCUGGACACAGGGACAGUGACCCCCGGUGCCACCACAGCCCCACCCUCGGGGCAGGCAGGUGACACCGAGGGACAGGGGGGAGGGGACACUGGGCUUGUGGUCAGCGUGGUCAUCGGAGGUGACCCCGAGGUCUUGGGGGGCCCCGCGGGCUCGUGGCCGUUCACUGUCCCCAAUGUCCCCGAUGUCCCCAGUGUCCCCAGUGUCCCCAGUGUCCCCACUGUCCCCACUGUCCCCAUGUCCCCAGUGUCCCCAGUGUCCCCAGUGUCCCCAAUGUCCCCCCCCCCCCCCCCCCCCCCCCCCCCCCCCCCCCCCCCCCCCCCCCCCCCCCCCCCCCCCCCCCCCCCCCCCCCC
rnacentral:lncRNA from 12 species